rnacentral:tRNA from 1 species
GAGGAGGCCCGAGACCUGCUAAAUCUCCAACCUGUUGUUAACCCACCAGCCCCCUCU